GAUUAACGCUGGCGGCGUGCAUAACACAUGCAAGUCGAACGAAGUGGCGGACGGGUGAGUAACGCGUGAGUAACCUGCCUUAGAGAAGGGGAUAGCCUUUGGAAACGAAGAAUAAUCCCCUAUGCUUUAAGAUGGGCUUGAGUCUGAUUAGUUAGUCGGGUGGGUAACGGCCCACCAAGACAGCGAUCAGUAGCCGGCUUUGAGGAGUGUCCGGCAACAUUGGGACUGGGAAACGGCCCAGACUCUACGGGAGGCAAAAGUGGGGAAUUUUGCACAAUGGGGGAAACCCUAAGGCAGCGAGGCCGCGUGAUUUAGAAGGCCUUCGGGUUGUAAAAAUCUUUUCUAUGGGAAGCAGUACCAUAGGAAUAAGGACCGGCUAAUUACGUGCCAGCAGCCGCGGUAAUUC
rnacentral:rRNA from 1 species